CUACGGGGGGCUGCAGUGGGGAAUAUUGCACAAUGGGCGCAAGCCUGAUACAGCCAUGCCGCGUGUAUGAAGAAGGCCUUCGGGUUGUAAAGUACUUUCAGCGGGGAGGAAGGGAGUAAAGUUAAUACCUUUGCUCAUUGACGUUACCCGCAGAAGAAGCACCGGCUAACUCCGUGCACAGCAGCCGCGGUAAUACGGAGGGUGCAAGCGUUAAUCGGAAUUACUGGGCGUAAAGCGCACGCAGGCGGUUUGUUAAGUCAGAUGUGAAAUCCCCGGGCUCAACCUGGGAACGGCAUCUGAUACUGGCAAGCUGGAGUCUCGUAGAGGGGGGUAGAAUUCCAGGUGUAGCGGUGAAAUGCGUAGAGAUCUGGAGGAAUACCGGUGGCGAAGGCGGCCCCCUGGACGAAGACUGACGCUCAGGUGCGAAAGCGUGGGGAGCAAACAGGAUUAGAUACCCCGGUAGUC
rnacentral:rRNA from 1 species